rnacentral:rRNA from 1 species
AACGAACGCUGGCGGCAUGCCUAACACAUGCAAGUCGAACGAGACCUUCGGGUCUAGUGGCGCACGGGUGCGUAACGCGUGGGAACCUGCCCUUAGGUUCGGAAUAACUCCCCGAAAGGGGUGCUAAUACCGGAUAAUGUCUUCGGACCAAAGCUUUAUCGCCUUUGGAUGGGCCCGCGUUGGAUUAGCUAGUUGGUAGGGUAAAAGCCUACCAAGGCGACGAUCCAUAGCUGGUCUGAGAGGAUGAUCAGCCACACUGGGACUGAGACACGGCCCAGACUCCUACGGGAGGCAGCAGUGGGGAAUAUUGGACAAUGGGCGAAAGCCUGAUCCAGCAAUGCCGCGUGAGUGAUGAAGGCCUUAGGGUUGUAAAGCUCUUUUACCCGGGAUGAUAAUGACAGUACCGGGAGAAUAAGCUCCGGCUAACUCCGUG